rnacentral:rRNA from 1 species
UCGCGGCCUAUCAGCUUGUUGGUGAGGUAAUGGCUCACCAAGGCGACGACGGGUAGCCGGCCUGAGAGGGCGACCGGCCACACUGGGACUGAGACACGGCCCAGACUCCUACGGGAGGCAGCAGUGGGGAAUAUUGCACAAUGGGCGAAAGCCUGAUGCAGCGACGCCGCGUGAGGGAUGACGGCCUUCGGGUUGUAAACCUCUUUCAGCAGGGAAGAAGCGAAAGUGACGGUACCUGCAGAAGAAGCGCCGGCUAACUACGUGCCAGCAGCCGCGGUAAUACGUAGGGCGCGAGCGUUGUCCGGAAUUAUUGGGCGUAAAGAGCUCGUAGGCGGCUUGUCACGUCGGUUGUGAAAGCCCGGGGCUUAACCCCGGGUCUGCAGUCGAUACGGGCAGGCUAGAGUUCGGUAGGGGAGAUCGGAAUUCCUGGUGUAGCGGUGAAAUGCGCAGAUAUCAGGAGGAACACCGGUGGCGAAGGCGGAUCUCUGGGCCGAUACUGACGCUGAGGAGCGAAAGCGUGGGGAGCGAACAGGAUUAGAUACCCUGGUAGUCCACGCCGUAAACGGUGGGCACUAGGUGUGGGCGACAUUCCACGUCGUCCGUGCCGCAGCUAACGCAUUAAGUGCCCCGCCUGGG